UACGUAGGGUGCGAGCGUUUGUCCGGAAUUACUGGGCGUAAAGAGCUCGUAGGUGGUUUGUCGCGUUGUUCGUGAAAACUCACAGCUUAACUGUGGGCGUGCGGGCGAUACGGGCAGACUUGAGUACUGCAGGGGAGACUGGAAUUCCUGGUGUAGCGGUGGAAUGCGCAGAUAUCAGGAGGAACACCGGUGGCGAAGGCGGGUCUCUGGGCAGUAACUGACGCUGAGGAGCGAAAGCGUGGGGGAGCGAACAGG
rnacentral:rRNA from 1 species